rnacentral:rRNA from 1 species
AGCGAACGCUGGCGGCAGGCCUAACACAUGCAAGUCGAACGAACUCUUCGGAGUUAGUGGCGGACGGGUGAGUAACACGUGGGAACGUGCCUUUUGGUUCGGAAUAACUCAGGGAAACUUGUGCUAAUACCGAAUGUGCCCUUCGGGGAAAGAUUUAUCGCCAUUAGAGCGGCCCGCGUCUGAUUAGCUAGUUGGUGAGGUAACGGCUCGCCAAGGCGACGAUCAGUAGCUGGUCUGAGAGGAUGACCAGCCACACUGGGACUGAGACACGGCCCAGACUCCUACGGGAGGCAGCAGUGGGGAAUCUUGCGCAAUGGGCGAAAGCCUGACGCAGCCAUGCCGCGUGAAUGAUGAAGGUCUUAGGAUUGUAAAAUUCUUUCACCGGGGACGAUAAUGACGGUACCCGGAGAAGAAGCCCCGGCUAACUUCGUG